rnacentral:rRNA from 1 species
UACAGAGGGGGCAAGCGUUGUUCGGAAUUACUGGGCGUAAAGGGCGCGUAGGCGGCCCGCUAAGUCGAACGUGAAAUCCCCGAGCUCAACUCGGGAACUGCGUCCGAUACUGGCGGGCUUGAAUCCGGGAGAGGGAUGCGGAAUUCCAGGUGUAGCGGUGAAAUGCGUAGAUAUCUGAGGAAGAACCGAGCCGGUAGGCGGCAAAGCUCGUCGAUC